GAUGAACGCUGGCGGCGCGCCUAACACAUGCAAGUCGAACGAGUAAGACGCCUUCGGGCGUGGAUAGAGUGGCGAACGGGUGAGUAACACGUGACCAACCUGCCCCCUCCUCCGGGACAACCUCGGGAAACCGAGGCUAAUACCGGAUACUCCGGGCCCCCCGCAUGGGGAGCCCGGGAAAGCCCUGGCGGGAGGGGAUGGGGUCGCGGCCCAUCAGGUAGACGGCGGGGUAACGGCCCACCGUGCCUGCAACGGGUAGCCGGGCUGAGAGGCCGAUCGGCCACAUUGGGACUGAGACACGGCCCAGACUCCUACGGGAGGCAGCAGUGGGGAAUUUUGCGCAAUGGGGGCAACCCUGACGCAGCGACGCCGCGUGCGGGACGAAGUCAUUCGUGACGUAAACCGCUUUCAGCGAGGAAGAACCAUGACGGUACUCGCAGAAGAAGCCCCGGCUAACUACGUGCCAGCAGCCGCGGUAAUACGUAGGGGGCGAGCGUUAUCCGGAAUCAUUGGGCGUAAAGCGCGCGCAGGCGGGCUUUCAAGCGGCGGCGUCGAAGCCGGGGGCUCAACCCCCGGAAGCGCCCCGAACUGGAAGCCUCGGAUGCGGCAGGGGGAGGCGGAAUUCCCGGUGUAGCGGUGAAAUGCGCAGAUAUCGGGAAGAACACCGACGGCGAAGGCAGCCUCCUGGGCCGGCAUCGACGCUGAGGCGCGAAAGCUGGGGGAGCGAACAGGAUUAGAUACCCUGGUAGUCCCAGCCGUAAAC
rnacentral:rRNA from 1 species